AUGAGAGUACAAAUUAAAUCCGGUCGGGAUCACUCCCCAAAAGGAUACCGCCCCUGCGAACAGUGCCGCCGGCGCAACGACAAAGCAUGUACGCAUGCCUGCCCGGCCACCCGUCGGCCGUGGCCUGCCUGGCAUCGCCGUGUCAGUGUCACACUCAGCCAGCGCCCCGAACCGUCGCCCCCGCCGCACACGUGCCGCACCAGAUGCCCACUCAACGGCAUCACGCCAGCAGCAUAUCCUGCCGUGCCGCCGGUAAAAACUAGACCCGAUCCGCAGAGCACGGUGAAUGUAGACACCCCGGCCGUCGCCGCACACACGUCGCGCAUGCACGGUCGGCGCCCCGGCCACGUGCCCGCGCGCCCGCGUCCCUCUCCGCCCCUUUAA
rnacentral:rRNA from 1 species